UACGUAGGGGGCAAGCGUUGUCCGGAAUUAUUGGGCGUAAAGCGCGCGCAGGCGGCCCAGCAAGUCGGAUGUGAAAGCCCUGGGCUUAACCUAGGAAGUGCAUUCGAAACUGCUGGGCUUGAGUUCUGGAGAGGAAGGCGGAAUUCUCGGUGUAGAGGUGAAAUUCGUAGAUAUCGAGAGGAACACCGGUGGCGAAGGCGGCCUUCUGGACAGUGACUGACGCUGAGACGCGAAAGCGUGGGGAGCAAACAGG
rnacentral:rRNA from 1 species